GUCUUUAAGAUUUUAAUUUAAAGUCUAAUCUGCCCAAUGAAAAUUUUAAAUGGCUGCAGUAAUUUAACUGUACAAAGGUAGCAUAAUAAUUUGUUUUUUAAUUAAAAACUAGAAUGAAAGAUUUAAUGAAAUAAAAACUUUUUAAAUUAAAUUAUAAUUAAAUUUUUUAUUUAAGUUAAAAAACUUAAAUAUUUUAUAAAGACGAUAAGACCCUAUAGAAUUUUAUUUUUAAUAAUUUAUUUUCUAUAUUAUUAAAAAUUUUAUUGGGGUAAUAAAAAAAUUUAAAUAAUUUUUUUUUAAAAAUACAUUUAUUUAUGAAUUUUUUAAUUUAAAUUUUAAAUUUAAAAAAUUAAUUACCUUAGGGAUAACAGCAUAAUUUUUUUUGAAAGUUCUUAUUUAUAAAAAAGAUUAU
rnacentral:rRNA from 1 species